rnacentral:rRNA from 1 species
UAAUACGAAGGGGGCUAGCGUUGUUCGGAAUUACUGGGCGUAAAGCGCUCGUAGGCGGAUUGGUCAGUCAGAGGUGAAAGCCCAGGGCUCAACCUUGGAAUUGCCUUUGAUACUGCCAGUCUUGAGUUCGGGAGAGGUGAGCGGAAUUCCGAGUGUAGAGGUGAAAUUCGUAGAUAUUCGCAAGAACACCAGUGGCGAAGGCGGCCAACUGGACCAAUACUGACGCUGAGGCGCGAAAGCGUGGGGAGCGAACAGGAUUAGAUACCCUGGUAGUCCACGCCGUAAACGAUGAGUGCUAAGUGU